ensembl:lncRNA
AAAGUAUCGAUAAGUUGACGAAAAAAAUGCAGGAAAUUUGUUAUGAACGUGUAAUAAGUAAAUUCCAAAAAGACAUAAAAGAACAUUAUUACUAUAAAAAAUCGACAGAGUUAAUUAAAUAUAUGUCUAUACUACUUUGGAUACAAAAAAAAAAUUGCAAAACAUGAGGUUGAAGUUUUGCUAAUUAGUAAAAUAAAAGUACAAUACAACACUAACAUUUUAAAAACAUUGCUCACCUGUUUUGUCCUAACAAAUUACGAUUAUUCAAACUUUACUUAUUCAAAUGAAAAUAUAAUAGAAAACUAUGAUUGGCUACAAUUAGUAUUAAAUAUAGAUUCUGAUUUUAUUGAAAAACUUACUUUGUUUAACCCUAUAAUGACAUUUGAAGAAAAAAGCAUAGAACAGUUGAAGGAUAUGACAACAUUACUAAGUGAUUUUAAUUUAUUAACUAAUGAAAAGGGUAUGGAUCAUAUGGAGAAAAUAACAACUUACGGAAUAACAUUAUUAUAUUAUUUUAAUGAAGCUACAAUAAAUAUUAUCAACGAAGUUUUAAAAAUAAAAGAAAAUGAACAUAAUAUAACUGCCACUGUUUAAAAUUAUCAAAUCGUUUAAAUAUAUAACACAUGUAAACAUGUGUAUGUAUAUAUAUAUAUAUAUAAGCAUAAAAAGCAUAAACUACCUUUGUUUUUUUUUUAAGCUUAAAGUUAGCCAUAUUUAUACGCAAGGUUUUAUUUUGUCAUUUUACACUGUAGUUAUGUUAUUGUGUUCUAUUCAUAUAUGCACAUAUAUAUAUACACAACAUUUAAUACUAUUAGCCCCGUUUUUUUUUUUUUCUGUUUCAUACUUUUUUUUUUUUUUUUUUUUUUGAUUAAAAAUAUAAGCUUUAAAAUUAGUUACUAUAAUCUUAGCUCGAUCUUUGCAAUUUUAACAUCAUUAAAAAGGGAGAAUAUAUAUAUAUAUAUAUAUAUACUUGUUAAAAAUAAUGGGACACUUGUAUAUGCCAUAAAAAUGUGAUAAAAAAUGUUAAUACGUGCCUACUUGUACCUACGUACAUAUGAGUGGCACACAUAAACACAUUACUAGUUUAAUUUAAUUAAAAAUAAAAAGAAUUAAAAAAAAAGACA